CAACCUGUGAAGAGGCCCACAGAGAGGCUUUGAGGCCUCCUGCCAAGAGCCCCUUGAGUGAGUGUGGAAGUGGAUUCUCCAACUUCAGUUGAGUGUUGAGAUGACUGCAGCCACACCCACAGCUUGACUGCACCUCCUGAGAGAUCUUGAGGCACCCAGCUAAGUGAAUAUCACAAGAUUGAAAGCCCGCCCCCCCUCCCCCCAUCCUCUUUCACUCUCUCUCUCUUUGGAAUAAACAACUAUAAUUACAAUUUAAA